rnacentral:rRNA from 1 species
UGCAAGUCGAACGAACUCUGGUAUUGAUUGGUGCUUGCAUCAUGAUUUACAUUUGAGUGAGUGGCGAACUGGUGAGUAACACGUGGGAAACCUGCCCAGAAGCGGGGGAUAACACCUGGAAACAGAUGCUAAUACCGCAUAACAACUUGGACCGCAUGGUCCGAGUUUGAAAGAUGGCUUCGGCUAUCACUUUUGGAUGGUCCCGCGGCGUAUUAGCUAGAUGGUGAGGUAACGGCUCACCAUGGCAAUGAUACGUAGCCGACCUGAGAGGGUAAUCGGCCACU